UUAUUGGAGAGUUUGAUCCUGGCUCAGGAUGAACGCUGGCGGCGUGCCUAAUAUAUGCAAGUCGAGCGAAUGGAUUAAGAGCUUGCUCUUAUGAAGUUAGCGGCGGACGGGUGAGUAACACGUGGGUAACCUGCCCAUAAGACUGGGAUAACUCCGGGAAACCGGGGCUAAUACCGGAUAACAUUUUGAACCGCAUGGUUCGAAAUUGAAAGGCGGCUUCGGCUGUCACUUAUGGAUGGACCCGCGUCGCAUUAGCUAGUUGGUGAGGUAACGGCUCACCAAGGCAACGAUGCGUAGCCGACCUGAGAGGGUGAUCGGCCACACUGGGACUGAGACACGGCCCAGACUCCUACGGGAGGCAGCAGUAGGGAAUCUUCCGCAAUGGACGAAAGUCUGACGGAGCAACGCCGCGUGAGUGAUGAAGGCUUUCGGGUCGUAAAACUCUGUUGUUAGGGAAGAACAAGUGCUAGUUGAAUAAGCUGGCACCUUGACGGUACCUA
rnacentral:rRNA from 1 species